rnacentral:lncRNA from 1 species
CUUAGUUUAAUUUUAAAAAAUGAAAUCGGUUUCCUAAUGAAUAUCAAGCACCCUGUGUGUUCCUUUCCUAAUUUUGAAAAUGUGUGCUACAUGCUACUUUCAGCAAUACACCAAACAUGCACAGUAUAUUUUAAUCAAGUUGAAAUUUUAAGGCACAAAUCAUAACCUUAAAAAUACUUGUUUUAUUACAACUUUGAACUCCUAUACUGUGAAGGCACUUGGAAGGUAUUAUAAGGAUUUUAAAGCAAAAUACAGCAAUGAGAACAGUUUACAACUGGAAGUCAUCACCAAUGAUUAAAAAAUUCAAUUAAAAAAAUUAAAUAACAAUCAAAAACAUUAUUCCAAAGUUGUAACAAAACAAAAUAUGUUUAAUUGCUAAGUGUUCUGAAUAGCUGAGAUGUAUUAAAAUUUCAGACAAAAAGAACUAAGAGUAGAACCAGAAUGUCUUUGGAAAUCACCUUCUCCUUAGUUUCCAGAAAAUACAGCCAAUGGUCCUCAUAAUCAACUAUUAAGUCUUUCCCCAUCCUGCCCAAGAUAUUUCAUCUAUUUUUUUCUCUGCUACCUCUUUCCACUGCCAUGCCCAUACAAAAAUUAGGCAGCUUAAAUGACAGUGAUGCUCUGAAUGUCCUGAAACAUGACAUUGGAAGAUUUUCAGGUUUUGCUGACCACACAAUGGAUUCCACCAUUUUGGCUGAGUUAACAACUUCCCGUCAAUUUAUUCAAAUGGAUGAAUUACUUGCAUAUGCUCUUAUACAGAUAUUUACUCAAGUGAGAUACUCUGAAUUUCCCCCUUGGAAACCUAUGCAAUGCCCAUAACACUAGCACCCACUCAACUCUGUGGGGUCCAUGACAUGAUUCUGCCAGGAUUAGUAAGAUAAGGUUAGUUCUAGGUUUUCACCUGGCACUACUUUCUAACUUCAUUUCCUUUCAAUGUG